rnacentral:tRNA from 1 species
GCCUGUGUGGCUCAGCGGAUAGAGCGUCAGCCCUCGGACUGAAGGGUCCCGGGUUCGAUUCCGGUCAAGGGCA